CCCCCACCCAUGUGUGUAGGACCUUAAAGGAUCACCAUUAAAGUUGGCUGGAUCUUUAGAAAAGUUAUCACAUGGGUAUGAGACUUGACUUUUCUAUAGAUCCGUGCUAAAUUUAAUGGUGAUCUUUUGAGGUCCUACACACAUGGGUGGAGA
rnacentral:pre_miRNA from 1 species